CCUACGGGAGGCAGCAGUAGGGAAUAUUGCGCAAUGGGCGAAAGCCUGACGCAGCAACGCCGCGUGGAGGAGGAAGGCUUUAGGGUUGUAAACUCCUUUUGUGGGGGAGGAAAAUGACGGUAUCCCACGACUAAGCACCGGCUAACUCCGUGCCAGCAGCCGCGGUAAUACGGAGGGUGCAAGCGUUAUCCGGAAUCACUGGGCGUAAAGAGUUCGCAGGCGGGAUGUUAAGUCAGGUGUGAAAGCCGCAGGCUUAACCAGGGUAGUGCACUUGAUACUUGGAAGCUGGAGUGUGGGAGAGGUAAGGGGAAUUCCUGGUGUAGCGGUGAAAUGCGUAGAUAUCAGGAGGAAUACCGGUGGCGUAAGCGCUCUACUGGGCCAUAAUUGACGCUCAGGAACGAAAGCGUGGGGAGCAAACGGGAUUAGAUACCCCUGUAGUC
rnacentral:rRNA from 1 species